GAGCCUUGCCUAAGCACUCAGGAACAGGAUCAUGUGAAACAAUACCUUGCCCAGGUCACGGCUACGUCAGGUAUCAGCACUUUGCUUAUUUCCGGCCAAAGCCCAGGCCGAAGCUUGAUUCGGGUGUCAGCAAGUUAAAACUCAGGCACAUCCAUCUUUCUUGAUCCAAGUAAAUUCUAGUGGGCAAGAGGAAGAGAAGAGAAACUACAACAUCAUUAUCUUACUGCUGGAGGCAGCAGAUUACGGACCCCUGACUGCGAUGUGUCAAAUGCACUAUGUGACAACCAAGACCCUACACAUCCGGGGGGCACUUCAGGAUUCCUCCAGGCCGCAGUUGCUGGCCUAGACUCACUUCUUCAGGAGGGAGGUUCGCCCUGGAAAAGCUGAUCUGCAUUUCUGCUGGGAUCGAUGCCGUGGAGACUGAAUACAUUGAGGUCUCCAGUUGAAAGAAGAAAGCUUAACCUGGCUUCUGAAUUCCAAGAGCGCACGGCAAAGUGGGUCUAAAUCACCUCUGGUUAUGAAGGGCCUGGAGCCAGAUAUGAGCUUCUUAGAGCUUUUGGCAGUUUCUGGUGGAGGCCAGCUCUCCUUGUCAUCUACCUUGGCCUGGGAAGCCUGUUCCCCUCUGCAGAGGAUGAGCUCAGGGCUACACCUUUCCUUCCAGGCUCUCAUGGUGUGGUCCAGGCUCCAUUUCUUUCUCUUUGAACCUCACUUCAACAUGAUUAGAGUGACUGAAGGUAAAGAAAUAGGAACUGUUUUACCGUAAAUAAAUUAGUCCCUGCUACA